GGGUUUGAUUAUGGCUCAGAGUGAACGCUGGCGGCGUGGAUUAGGCAUGCAAGUCGAGCGAUUCUUUUUAUUUCGGAGGUUGACCGCAAGGAAGACCAACGGAAUUUUUAGAAUAGCGGCAAAUGGGUGAGGAACACGUGAGCAACCUUCCCUGAAGUCAAACAUAGCUUCGUGAAAACGGAGGUAAUAUUUGAUACAUCCUUAAAAUCGCAUGGUUUUUAGGAUAAAGGUAGGGACCCGUAAGGGCCUACCGCUUCUGGAUGGGCUCGCGUCCUAUCAGCUAGUUGGUGAGGUAAUGGCUCACCAAGGCUUUUGACGGGUAGCUGGUCUGAGAGGAUGGUCAGCCACACUGGGACUGAGACACUGCCCAGACUCCUACGGGAGGCUGCAGUCGAGAAUCUUUCACAAUGGACGAAAGUCUGAUGGAGCGACGCCGCGUGCAGGAUGAAGGUCUUCGGAUUGUAAACUGCUUUUGUCUGGAAAGAAUAUUUUCAUGUUAACAGCAUGAGAACUGACGGUACCAGAUGAAUAAGCCACGGCCAACUCCGUGCCAGCAGCCGCGGUAAUACGGAGGUGGCAAGCGUUA
rnacentral:rRNA from 1 species